GCCAUUUCUCUCACUCUCGCGGUGAGGUUUUUCUCUCUAAAUCCAUAAAGCCAUUUCUCUCUCUAAAGCCGUAACUGUGCAGUCUGGAGUUCCAUUAGAAGGAAUCAAAAGCGUACUCUCUUCCCUUAGCACCCUUGUGGUUACAAUUGUGGUUCCCCUUCUUCACCCAACAGUUGUUAUUACCUUCUUCCAAGUUGUUGCCUGCACCUUGUGGUUCCCUUGGCACCCUUGUGGUUCCAAUUUUUGUUGCCUUCUUCCCCUCGAGAAAUUCUAUAAUAUAGCCGUGGUUCCCUUAGCACGGUUUGGAUCUUGUCGCCUUCUUCCCCUUGUUGCCUUGGGUGCUGCCCUUUGAGUUCUGGCGCAAUACACUGUCGUGUUCUCCCCCUUGGCGCGUGCGGAUUUUUAUUGUUUAACUGCGGAUUCCCGCAAUACACAUUUUUCCAAAUUUCUCUUCUG
rnacentral:misc_RNA from 1 species